UUUUAUUUUAAAAGGUAAAAUUAGGUUCAAGUCCAGCUGUAAAAUAAAGUUUGAGUUGUUAAAAAAUAAAGACACAUGACAUAUUUUUUGAGUGGGAGUAUCACCAAUUAAUGUGGUGAUACAGUAUCAUUUUAUAAUUUCUUCUUGGACAAAAUACAAUAUACAUCAAUGUUCCUACAAAAGUCUUCUUAAUCAUGAUUUUUAUUAUUA
rnacentral:lncRNA from 1 species